rnacentral:lncRNA from 1 species
GGCAGUUUGUAAUGGCGCUUCCAUCCUUCCUGGCUUCUUCAGUCUAACCAAGAGUUUCUAGCCUUUUUGUCUAGGCUUGCGUUCUUCAUGCCAGAAAUUCAUUGUGCAAUUAGCCCCAUCAUUGGAUGAAGCUUCAAGUAUCUUUAUACACAGUUUUUCUGAUGCUGACAUGGUACAUUUAAAUGGAAAUGAAAAUGAUGAUGGCAUCAAAAUGGCAAGCUUUCGAUGCCCCUUCUUCUAUAUAGCAAUGACUCCGAAAGACAUUUAUCAAAUAAAAUAAGAUUCAUGCCUAUAACCCCAGCAUUUCAGAUUUGGAGGCAAGAGGAUCUCAGGAAUUCAAGGUCAUCCUUGGCUCUACAGAGAGUUCAAGGCCAGCCUAGACUAUAUGCUUCACCUCAAAGAAAACACAAAAGCAAGGCUUUCCUCGUGGCUCAGCAGAUAAGAGUGCACAGCAUGGAAACCCAAGUUCAAGUCCUCAGUACCCAUAACAUGACCAUUGCACCCAUGAACUUGCUGCUGCUAUGAUAACCUGCACAAGAUCAGGGCAGCAUGAUCAGUUAACAUUCUAACAGACAGCACUAAUUAGACUCAGUAUGGGGGGAGAGGAAGAGGGAGAGGGAGGAAGUGAAGAAGGAAGGGCUAUGUUGGGGAGGGUCUCGGCAGCAUUGGAAGGGGCUUAGGAGGGGUAUAAUUACAUUCAUUGUUUGCACUUGUCAAAGAAUAAAUAAAAAUGUUUUAAGAAAC